GAUGAACGCUAGCUAUAGGCUUAACACAUGCAAGUCGAGGGGCAGCAUGGUCUUAGCUUGCUAAGGCCGAUGGCGACCGGCGCACGGGUGAGUAACACGUAUCCAACCUUCCGUUUACUCAGGGAUAGCCUUUCGAAAGAAAGAUUAAUACCUGAUAGUAUGGUGAGAUUGCAUGAUAGCACCAUUAAAGAUUUAUUGGUAAACGAUGGGGAUGCGUUCCAUUAGGUAGUAGGCGGGGUAACGGCCCACCUAGCCGACGAUGGAUAGGGGUUCUGAGAGGAAGGUCCCCCACAUUGGAACUGAGACACGGUCCAAACUCCUACGGGAGGCAGCAGUGAGGAAUAUUGGUCAAUGGGCGAGAGCCUGAACCAGCCAAGUAGCGUGAAGGAUGAAGGUCCUACGGAUUGUAAAACUUCUUUUAUACGGGAAUAAAGUAUCCUACGUGUAGGAUUUUGUAUGUACCGUAUGAAUAAGCAUCGGCUAACUCCGUGCCAGCAGCCG
rnacentral:rRNA from 1 species